AAAUGGAUAUUCCAGCAGCUGAUGUUGUGUUGUUGAAGAGUGGUCCUCUGCAACUUUCUCCUGAAUCUGAAACUGUAAAUUUGGUUAGCAGGUCUACAACAUCUAAUACAAGUAGUUAAGCUUCAUGUCACCCAGCUUUUUGCUUUUCUGAGAGAAGCAAGAAAUUGGUAAUUAAAGAGAUCCCAUAAUCAGAGAAAUGGCUGAUUGCUGUCAUUUUUUUUUUUUUGGUUCUUUUUUUCGUUUUUAAUCCACUAGAUUUUGAUACUGAUACUCGUUGGGGUGUACAUGUAAUAGUUGUAAUGAGGUAGGGAGGUUUUUUCUUUUUGGUAAUUCAUAUAUAUAUAUAUAUAUAUAUAUUUUAUUUGCUAACUAAUCUAAAUAAAUUGUUGAUGUAAAUACAAAAGUUACAAACUUCAGUUUGAACAUUAGAAGCACGAUAUAUUAAAUAGGUUUUGGGUGACUCACAUCUCCGCCGAUGAAAUGAGGAAAAAAAACAUAAUGAAACUCAUUUGUUAAUGCCCAAGAAUUUUGAUUUAAAUUUCUCCGACUGAAAGAAGAGAAAUGUAGAGCUCAGGUUUGGAAUCAUCAGAGUUUCUAUAAUCUUGUUAGGUAAAUAUGCUUUUAACUCAACAAUAAACUCAAGGCCAUUGACAGAUAAAUCGAUUUGUCCAUCAUCAAUGGAGAUCACAAUGAGGCUGCAAAAUUAAAAAUAAGAAUCUUAAUAUUAUAAUAAUUUGAACAUUUCGUAUUUUAAUUGAGCAAUUAAAUUCUAAAAUGUACAUUGAAAUAAACUUAUCAAUUAUAUUAAGAGCUAAUUAUCAAUUAUCAUGCAUGACAUUUUUUUUUUUUUUUUGAAUGACCAACCUCACGGAUCAAAAGUGGUACUAUCGUUCUCUACCUUAAUCAAGUAUCAAAUCUCUGAGACUAUUUUAUCUGAUUCGAAUCUCCCCUGUCAACUCUCCAACCAUAAAUCUCUGAUAACUAGGAAGAAAAAGAAGAAGCAGAAUUUCAGUGUUAGGGUUAGGGUUAGGGUUAGAGUCGGGUUCGAUUCUAAACAUCAUCGGCUACUGAAGACGUGAAGCAAGAAUCGAGAGGGAGAAGGAAAGAUGAUAGAGAUGAUAUUGAACCGUAGACUGGGGAAGAAUGUCCGAGUGAAAUGCAACGAGGACGACAUCGUCGGUGACCUCAAGAAGUUGGUUG
rnacentral:lncRNA from 1 species